rnacentral:rRNA from 1 species
GUUGUAUGGUUAAGUGACUAAGCGUACACGGUGGAUGCCUUGGCAGUCAGAGGCGAUGAAAGACGUAGUAACUUGCGAUAAGCCCAGAUUAGGUAGUAACAACCAUUUGAGUCUGGGAUUUCUGAAUGGGGAAACCCACUUACAUAAGUAAGUAUCAUUAACUGAAUACAUAGGUUAAUGAGGCGAACCGGGGGAACUGAAACAUCUAAGUACCCCGAGGAAAAGAAAUCAACCGAGAUUCCGAAAGUAGCGGCGAGCGAAAUUGGACUAGCCCUUAAGCUUUACACGCGUUAGACGAACGGUCUGGAAAGUCCGACGAUACAGGGUGAUAGUCCCGUAGUUGACGACGUGUGUUCAGUGAAAUCGAGUAGGGCGGGACACGUGAUAUCCUGUCUGAAUAUGGGGGGACCAUCCUCCAAGGCUAAAUACUACUGACUGACCGAUAGUGAACCAGUACCGUGAGGGAAAGGCGAAAAGAACCCCUGUGAGGGGAGUGAAAUAGAACCUGAAACCGUGUACGUACAAGCAGUAGGAGCAGGCUUUGUCCUGUGACUGCGUACCUUUUGUAUAAUGGGUCAGCGACUUAUAUUCAGUGGCAAGGUUAACCAUCUAGGGGAGCCGUAGGGAAACCGAGUCUUAACUGGGCGUUCAGUCUCUGGAUAUAGACCCGAAACCAGGUGAUCUAGCCAUGGGCAGGUUGAAGGUUGAGUAACAUCAACUGGAGGACCGAACCGACUAAUGUUGAAAAAUUAGCGGAUGACUUGUGGCUAGGGGUGAAAGGCCAAUCAAACCUGGAGAUAGCUGGUUCUCCCCGAAAGCUAUUUAGGUAGCGCCUCGGACGAAUACUACUGGGGGUAGAGCACUGUUAAGGCUAGGGGGUCAUCCCGACUUACCAACCCUUUGCAAACUCCGAAUACCAGUAAGUACUAUCCGGGAGACACACGGCGGGUGCUAACGUCCGUCGUGGAGAGGGAAACAACCCAGACCGCCAGCUAAGGUCCCAAAUUACUACUAAGUGGGAAACGAUGUGGGAAGGCUCAGACAGCCAGGAUGUUGGCUUAGAAGCAGCCAUCAUUUAAAGAAAGCGUAAUAGCUCACUGGUCGAGUCGGCCUGCGCGGAAGAUGUAACGGGGCUAAGUAGUAAACCGAAGCUGCGGCAAUGUGCUUUUGCACAUUGGGUAGGGGAGCGUUCUGUAAGCGGUUGAAGGUGUGUGGUAACGCAUGCUGGACGUAUCAGAAGUGCGAAUGCUGACAUGAGUAACGAUAAAGGGGGUGAAAAACCUCCUCGCCGGAAGACCAAGGGUUCCUGUCCAACGUUAAUCGGGGCAGGGUAAGUCGACCCCUAAGGCGAGGCCGAAAGGCGUAGUCGAUGGGAAACGGGUUAAUAUUCCCGUACUUCUUACAAUUGCGAUGGGGGGACGGAGAAGGCUAGGUGGGCCUGGCGACGGUUGUCCAGGUUCAAGUGCGUAGGCUUAAGAGUUAGGUAAAUCCGGCUCUUUCUAAGGCUGAGACACGACGUCGAGCACCUACGGGUGUGAAGUCAUUGAUGCCAUGCUUCCAGGAAAAGCCUCUAAGCUUCAGAUUGUAAGGAAUCGUACCCCAAACCGACACAGGUGGUCGGGUAGAGAAUACCAAGGCGCUUGAGAGAACUCGGGUGAAGGAACUAGGCAAAAUGGUACCGUAACUUCGGGAGAAGGUACGCUCUUGAUGGUGAAGUCCCUCGCGGAUGGAGCUGACGAGAGUCGCAGAUACCAGGUGGCUGCAACUGUUUAUUAAAAACACAGCACUGUGCAAAAUCGUAAGAUGACGUAUACGGUGUGACGCCUGCCCGGUGCCGGAAGGUUAAUUGAUGGGGUUAGACUUCGGUCGAAGCUCUUGAUCGAAGCCCCGGUAAACGGCGGCCGUAACUAUAACGGUCCUAAGGUAGCGAAAUUCCUUGUCGGGUAAGUUCCGACCUGCACGAAUGGCGUAAUGAUGGCCACGCUGUCUCCACCCGAGACUCAGUGAAAUUGAAAUCGCUGUGAAGAUGCAGUGUACCCGCGGCUAGACGGAAAGACCCCGUGAACCUUUACUACAGCUUGGCACUGAACAUUGACCCUACAUGUGUAGGAUAGGUGGGAGGCUUUGAAGCAGGUACGCCAGUAUCUGUGGAGCCGUCCUUGAAAUACCACCCUUGUAGUGUUGAUGUUCUAACGUCGACCCCUUAUCGGGGUUGCGGACAGUGCCUGGUGGGUAGUUUGACUGGGGCGGUCUCCUCCCAAAGAGUAACGGAGGAGCACGAAGGUGGGCUAAUCACGGUUGGACAUCGUGAGGUUAGUGCAAUGGCAUAAGCCCGCUUGACUGCGAGAAUGACAAUUCGAGCAGGUGCGAAAGCAGGUCAUAGUGAUCCGGUGGUUCUGAAUGGAAGGGCCAUCGCUCAACGGAUAAAAGGUACUCCGGGGAUAACAGGCUGAUACCGCCCAAGAGUUCAUAUCGACGGCGGUGUUUGGCACCUCGAUGUCGGCUCAUCACAUCCUGGGGCUGAAGUCGGUCCCAAGGGUAUGGCUGUUCGCCAUUUAAAGUGGUACGCGAGCUGGGUUUAGAACGUCGUGAGACAGUUCGGUCCCUAUCUGCCGUGGGCGUUGGAAGAUUGAAGGGGGCUGCUCCUAGUACGAGAGGACCGGAGUGGACGAACCUCUGGUGUUCGGGUUGUGUCGCCAGACGCAUUGCCCGGUAGCUAAGUUCGGAAUCGAUAACCGCUGAAAGCAUCUAAGCGGGAAGCGAGCCCUGAGAUGAGUCUUCCCUGAUACUUUAAGUAUCCUAAAGGGUUGUCGGAGACUACGACGUUGAUAGGUCAGGUGUGUAAGUGCUGUGAGGCAUUGAGCUAACUGAUACUAAUUGCCCGUGAGGCUUAACCAUACAACACCCAAGGGGUUU